rnacentral:lncRNA from 1 species
CUUGCAUUGCUGGCUGAGGCAGCGGCGGCGGCGGACUGCAUCUACCAGCCAAGCGUAUUUUUUUUUUCCUCUCUCUCCUUUCCGAGCAGCCAAAGGGAGGGGAGGAAAUGCAGCGUAAAGAACUAGUGUCCCGAUUUGUAGUUUCCUCUCCCCACCAGGCUCCUCCCUCUCUUCCUCGGAAAAGGCUCUCCCCCGAAAUCAAGAAAGCCACAGCCUGAUCAGCAUUUGCUGUGCGAAGGGAAAUCAACAGGCAACUCAUGGUUGGACGUGCACAUUUAAAGGAGGAGGGGGGAGGCCGAAUAAAAAGGAAGGGGGAGCCUCCCUCCCAGUCCUUGCACACACACUCUCCCUGUCUCUCGCUAGAAGGGAAACAGUCUCUGCAUUCACAGGGCUGGGCUGUCAAGUGCCUCUUUUCUUUCUAUUCAGCAUCUCCUUCCAAUAGCCCUGCCUCCCAGUCCUCUUCAUCUAGAAAAGAAAACCUUGGCGAGGAAUAAAAGUGAUGAAUAUUUGAAGCAAAUAAAGUACGUGUUUUUUUUUUUCCUUCAAUUUUCUCUUAUAGUAGGAGGAGUGGGCUGGAUGAAAGCAACACAUCAAGGUUUGGCGUGAUGCAUUCUGCAGUCUCUCUUUCAGUUUUUCUGGGCGACUCAGGGAGGGCAGGGGGUGCAGAGCUGCGGCCGCGGCGGUCCAGCCAGGGGCUCCUACCCCGGGGAGCUCCCUCCGAGGGGAUGUUAGACACAGGUCUG